rnacentral:rRNA from 1 species
CAAUAGCGUAUAUUAAAGUUGUUGCGGUUAAAAAGCUCGUAGUUGGAUUUCUGCUGAGAACGACCGGUCCGCCCUCUGGGUGUGUAUCUGGCUCUUUCUUGGCAUCUUCUUGGUGAACGUUGCUGCACUUGACUGUGUGGAGCGCUACCCAGGACUUUUACUUUGAGGAAAUUAGAGUGUUUCAAGCAGGCAUACGCCUUGAAUACAUUAGCAUGGAAUAAUAAGAUAGGACCUCGGUUCUAUUUUGUUGGUUUCUAGAGCUGAGGUAAUGAUUAAUAGGGAUAGUUGGGGGCAUUCGUAUUUAACUGUCAGAGGUGAAGUUCUUGGAUUUGUUAAAGACGGACUACUGCGAAAGCAUUUGCCAAGGAUGUUUUCAUUGA